rnacentral:lncRNA from 13 species
GUGGCUGCACCCCCACCCUGGCCUGCAGCUCAGGCCUCGGCAGAGCGGGUUUCUCAGGGCAACCCCCUAUCUGGAGCCAGCUUCCUGGCCGUUGCCAUGGGAACUGCUUCCUCGUUGCCAAAUGCUGCUGACCAGGGAAAAUGAGUUGGGCAGAUGGGAAGGAUGGGAUGGAUGGAGGGAGGACCAGAGCUGGAUGGGCAGGAAUGAGAUGGCUUCUGGGUGGGCCUGGAUGGGCCGCAUGAAGGGGAGGGGAUGAUCAUCUCUGUCUCAUCAGUGGGCAUUCGGACAGCAUGGACUCAGGGGACUCCCACCUGCUGGAAGCUGGAGGUGGGAAGGUGGCUCCCGGAGGAACCAGCCCCAUGCAGGACCAGUGACCGUAUGAAGGACGCUUCUCAUCCCAUCACUUCAGCUUUAAUCAACCAGCCCCGUGCCGGCCGGGCUGGCCCUCUGGGGGCAGAUGUCUGCGGUGCCCUUUCAGAAGCCGGCACACUGGGGAGGAGCUGGAAUCUGCCACUGGGCACCGACAUUGUUCGCGGCUGGAGGCCAAGCUGCCGAGAAUGUAAAUUUCUAAUUAAAAUAGGAAUUAAUCCUCUCUCCCAACUACCUGCUAUCUCCAGCUGGAUGAGCAAAAGUUGAUGCCGCUAAUUAAUGUUAUCGCCCAGAAGCUUUAUUUACGGAAGCAGAUGGAAUUCACGUGGCUUUGCGGGAGCUGAUGGAGAAAGUGAAAAAAAUUAAUUACCUUGAUCCUCCGCCUUGUAUUCUAAUCACAGACUGGCAGGGUCCCUCUUCGGCUUUCCCCAAAGCCCACCACUGGUGCUUUCUUUCAUGAACUGGGCACUUGUUCCAAAUACAGGGAGAAAAAGCUGAAAAUUGCCGUGAGCGGCUCAGAGAAAAGAGGAGCGUUUGCUGGCACUUGGACUGCCGGACGGACGGGAAGAUAACCGUUCCUGGCAUUGGGUGUUUUUGUUACCCAGCAAAGCAGAUUCUAAAUUUCAAAUUAAGAUCUUGAAAAGUUCCUGGCAGAUUAAUAAAUCACACUAACUGCUGUGCGUUCUGCA